rnacentral:lncRNA from 1 species
CUUUAAACAUUGCAAUUAACUAAAUACUUAUUUAUUUUUAUUAUUAUUAUAUCCUAAUUUUCUAAAACAGUAAUUAGUGCUUAACUGGUUAAUUAACCUAAUUAAUUAAUUUAUUAAUAUUAAUUUAUAAAACUAUAUUAUUGUUAUUUCUGCAGGUUUUUAUGAGGGGCCCCACAUGUCUUUUGAUGGGAGUUGUGGGGCCCAACUGUCAUCGGGACAGCGAGCACCCACCUACAUGCACACACAUGUGUACACACAAAUUUACUCUUACACACAUUUUUACAUACCCUUGCACAUACAUACACACAUAUAUAUAAAUACUUUUUCUUUUUCGUUUUUGUUCUAAACCAUCUCAAGGGUUAAUCCCUUCUGUCUAAACAGGAAGGAACGAGGGGCACGACGGAGGCUGUCGGCCGGCAGUGGCCGUAGCGGGCGCGGUGGCCGAAGUUGCAGAGGAAAGGGGAUGUGUGGGGGGGAGCCCGGGGGAGGGCUCACAUUGACCGAGAAGGGGAAGCAGGGAACCGGCAAGGGAGGUGCGGCCGUGAUGGUGGUUGAGGGCGACGGGGUGCACCGCCGUGGUGGACGUUGGAGGAGGCGUCGAUGGUGCAUGGGCGCGGUGGCUCCGUGCGGCGCGGGGCGGAUCCGGCAAGGGCUGCCCUAGGGAGACGUCGGCCUCCCCAGCCCGGAUCCACCCUGGAUCGAGAGGGAGUGGCAGGGGAGCGAGGAGGACGGUGAAUGGCGCAGGUGAAGGUGGCCGGCAGUGGCCGACGCGGGGGGAGGGGGCCUAGCGUGAUGGGGAGACUAGUGAGAGGAGCCGGCGAGGGGAGGCCCCUGGAGGGAGCAGGGGGGCUUGAACGGGGCGUGUGGUAGCUUUGGCUAGGAGGGGCAACGGGGGAACGAGCCAGGGGGGUCUGGCUCGUGCGAGAAGAGGCGAGGCGAAACGAGGGAAUGGGCGCGACAGGGCUUAGGUCGAGGGGGUGGGUUCGAGCGAGUGAGGCGCUCGG